UUAUAAUAAAGAAUUAAUUAAAAGAAAAUUAAAUGUAAUUCAUUAAAUUUAAAUAAUUUGGCGGUAUUUUAAAUAGUUAGAGGAAUUUGUUGAGUAAAUGAUAUUCCACGAAUGGGGAGUCCUGAUAAAAAUUUUUAUGUAUUGUUGUAUAAAAAUUAUUUUAUAAAAAUUUAUGAUUAAAAAAUUUGAUAUAAUUUAAAUUCAAAUCAAAAUGUAGAAUUAUUAGGUUUUUAAUGAAUUACAAUUUAAUUUAGUAAUAGAUUUAUUUUUUUAAUUAAAGUAAUGAAAUAGGAUUUAAAAGUAAGUUUAAAAAAAUAUUUAAAUUGAAA
rnacentral:rRNA from 1 species